AUCCUAAUUUAAUCCUAAUUAAAAUUCUAAUGGACUUCAAUCAAAUCCUAGACCAAACCUUAAAUCUUAAAUCCUAAGGAAAUUCUAAAUCUUAAAUCCUAAGCAAAUCCUAAAUCUUAAAUUCUAAGCAAAUUCUAAAUCUUAAAUCCUAAAUUUUAAGAAAAUCUUAAAUCCUAAGCAAAUCUUAAAUCCUAAAAAAAUCCUAAAUUAUUAAUUCUAAAUAAAUCCUAAAUCAAAUCCUAAAUCCUAGUUCAACUCUAAUUCCUAACCAAAUCUUAACCAAAUCUUAAAUCCUAAUCCAAUCCUAAUCCUAAAUCAAAUCCUAAUCAAAACCUAACCAACUCAAUCUAAUCCUAAUGUAAUUUAGAACCUCAAUAUCUAUCAAUUAAACCAUUGAUCUUGCUUGAAAUUUUAUAUACUUUUCAAAACUAAGUUAAAAAUAAGUAUACAAAAUUUGAAGAUAAUUACACUUACCAAAUGGAAGAAAAAC
rnacentral:lncRNA from 1 species